UAUAUUGAUAUGUUUGGAGAUAAUUUACAUGUGUAUCAGUUUAUUUCAUAUACUGCUAAUUCAUACAAACACAAAAAGAAUCCUUCAAAAGGUUUUCCCGUAUUUAAUACUAGCAUUGACCUCUUCUAUUUUAUCAAACAUGUUAUGAUGUAAAGACCGUGCCUCUCAGCAACUGCUUCGAAACACACAUUCAACAUUGACCAUGAAUGAGUCUCAUUAAGAAGCAGUGUCCGACUCGCAUUUACACAUUGUGCCCUUUAGUAGAGGGUGCAGGUUUUUGCUCCCGUGACUUUAGGGAUAUCUUUUUUAUCCGUUGCAACGCAUGGGCAUUUUUCCUAGUCUCUCCCUAAUAAUAAAGCAUGGAUUGACUCCGUGGGUUCAUCGUCACAAUACGCUUCUUUCGGUGAUUUUAUGUUUUCAGUUUGAAUUUAAAACAUAUACGUAAGGUGGUACUAAUAUUUACCCACUGCCUCCCGUAAGUACAAAAAGACCUAGCGAGUCUGAUCCCCAUCUCCCUCUCUCCCUCGAUCCCUUCUGUCCCUAUCGCACCACCAGGCGCACCCACCCACAACCCACCAUGGAUCCCGCAUCCCUUCGGCGCUCCUCUCGUUGACCACCACCGUCGCCUCCCCCAAGGCCACCGGCGCUGAUAUUCAAACCAUGGUCCUUUUUAGUGGAGAGGCGUUGAGGAGAUGGCAGUCUCCGUCGCCCUGUCGCGGAUCGCCACGGCCGCCAACGCCCAGCACCGCCUCCCUCGCCGCUGAUCAACGCCGCCACCAUGCCACGCACUGUCGCCACCAUGCCACGCACUGCUGCCACCCCGCCGUCCUCUCCCUGUGUCAACUUCCGCCACCACCGCGCAGAAACCUAUCGCCAUCACGCCCCCGCCACAUUUACGCCCAGCCUCCCUCGCCACACGCGGCCUCCUGUGUCGCUAGCAUCACGCCCAACGUCGCCUCCCUCGCCGACGCGCCUGCAGCCUCCACCAUAUUAUGGAGUCACCGCCGCUGCCACCGCCUUUCCAGGUCGUGCUUCCUGAUUGCAACAGUAAAGGUGGAUUGAAGCGGUCGUGAGGUCAAGGAGAGGGGAGGUCCAGGCAUUGGAGAGGAGGAAGAAGGUGGUGAAGGUUGUUCUGUUGCUACUGAUCCUCCCCAGGCCAGACACGGCCAUGUUCUGUUGCUGCUGAUCCUGUAUCACAGUGCCCACAAUAUGUUUGAGGUAAUGCCCACCAGGUUGCUUUUUGAUUAAUUAGUUCAAUUAUUACAUGGACAUGUGAAGAUACUUUAGUUUGAUCGAGUCCAGAUAAUUGAGUUCAAUCGAGUCAAAUGUGGAGGAGUAACAUCUACGUAUAGAAAUUCAUAAUAAGUAAUCCAAUGCCCGAUUCAGUUCUUAGUUCUUACGUCUACAUAUGCAAUGACUGAAUAUUAUGACGACCAGUUCAGGAUUCAGAGGUAGAGGAAUAGCCUGCAAGUGCGUGCCGUUUCUGAUGCUUGCGCGGCGAGUGCUCUUCCUGGCCACCGCCUCGGGCACCACCAAUGGCAUCGGGAAGUAUUCAUCCGCCAAACCAGCUGCGCAGGCACCCUCCUCCGAGACACUCUCAGCGAGCCCCCUCACCCAAUCCAGCAUUCCCGGCCAUGUACUCCCUCUUCCUCUUCAACGCCCUCCCGUUGGGUCAGGCCUUCCUUCAAUUCGGCGGGCAUUGAGUCGCCGCCUCCUCUAGACUCACUGGCGAGUGGACCGGCGAGGGAAGAUGACGGGAUGGAGAUUGGUCACUAUAUGCAAAAGGUGGACCUACUUUGUUUUGUUAUUAGUAUUACCAACACUAAACUACAUGCAUGGGAACUGGGAGUUUGAGACGGGCUUGCAGUAAGCUGUAAGCCGCGACCAUACAAUUUCAGUAUCUAUUCAUGUGUACGUCGGACCUAGACAAGGUUGGAGGGCAGGUAGAGGACCGGUGGUGCGUUAGGCAUGCAGCGUGUGUAACAACAGUCGACCACAGGUGGGCAGCACACUGUCACUAGGGAAGGAGAUGGUGGCAGUGUGUUUUGAUUAGCAGCAGGUGGCUCCAUGGUGGCCAGUGCAGCGGCGAGCUAGCGUGUUACUGUGGGAAGAGGCAGAAAAAUUAAUCUGUUUGUGGUUGGACGAUGGAUUCCCGUUCCCUGGUAGGCAGCUAGCUCUCGAAAUAAUUUCAGCAAGAACAACAUCCUCAAUUUGGAGUGGUCUUAUUCGCUACUGCAUAUCUUGACAUUUCAAAUGUAGAUCAGAUAACUAUAUAGUAGACACUGUGCUGUUGGUGUUUAACUGUUCGUGAGAUACGCGUCAAUAUUGCAAUCAACUCUGACUGCAAUUGUAUAGUCUCAAGGGCCUGCAUUCUAUAUUGAAGGUUCAACAUUGAAGCUGCUUGCAUUGAUCCGCAAUAGACCUUCACUUCAGCGAAAAAUGAGGUUUCAUGGUGGCAGUGCCUUCUUCUACAUGAUGGGAAUUCAACGGCAUUUUUUUUGUUAAAUACUAGCUGGGUGUGCCGUCUAUUCACAGAUCGUGUAAUUUGACCAUCUCUUGCAGACAAAACACUCGGGGAAAGUUCCCAGCCGUGCACAUGUGACCGCUGGAGAGGCAUACCGUUUUAGGAAUGCAUGACAGACUGGUAGUGAGGUUUGUGUCUAUAGGAUGGAAUUACUUGAUAUGUCAAAAUGGUGGUCUUUAUUAUGCAAUGUAAGUGAUCUCUUGUUGAACCCCUCCUUUCCAGAAAACUACUCAUAAUGUUUUGGGAUUAUUUGAUUUUAGUAAGGUGACUUAUACACCUAGA